UACGAAGGGGGCUAGCGUUGUUCGGAAUCACUGGGCGUAAAGCGCGCGUAGGCGGCUUGCUAAGUCGGGAGUGAAAGCCCAAGGCUCAACCUUGGAAUUGCUCUCGAUACUGGCGGGCUAGAGUCUGGAAGAGGGGUGUGGAAUACCGAGUGUAGAGGUGAAAUUCGUAGAUAUUCGGUGGAACACCAGUGGCGAAGGCGACACCCUGGUACAUGACUGACGCUGAGGCGCGAAAGCGUGGGGAUCAAACAGG
rnacentral:rRNA from 1 species